CGACGCUUUGCCCACCCAUGACUAGAGACCCAUUUCACGCAGACAAAGGGGCCCAGAGGGUCUGCGGCAUACGUGACAGAGGGAUCCAUGAUCAAGAGGCCCUACCACAGGCAAAAUCCUCUUUAUGAACAAUUGAAGUUAAAGGAGAAGGAGAUAAUGACAUUUCUACACAACUUAGAGAUGGAGACCAUGGAGGCCCGAGAGAACAACCAGGAGCUCAAGGAGAUAAAUUUCUAUCAGUCUCAGAAACUGCAAGAGAGCUGGGAUUGGCCACAGCAGAAGAGAGCAUCUUGCAGAAUGAGUUGCCACACCAGGAGGCCCCUACUGAACACCAUCCCCAGCAUCCACAAUCUUCCUUGGAUGAAUCUUCUUCUAUAUAAUUCAUUUUCUUAGGGUGAAUAGGCCUUUACUAGGAAGCCAUGGCUGAUUCAGGGUGUUGUUCCCUUUUCUCUUCAGACAACUCCUCUUGCCAGAAGGUACGUCAGCUCAAAAAGCUGAAUUAAUUGCCCUGACCCAAGCCCUUCGGAUGACUGAGGGGCAGUCCAUCAACAUUUACACCGAUAGCAGGUAUGCUUUUGCUACAGCCCACAUCCACGGUGCCAUCUAUAGACAAAGAGGGUUGCUGACAUCAGCAGGC